GUAGUCGCAAGGAUCAUUGCUCUAGCACUUGAUCUGGAGGCUGAUUUUUUUUACAAGCCAGAAAUACUCGGCAAGCCUAUUCUGAUCUUGCGCUUGUUGCACUAUGAAGGUCUAAUCUAUGAUCCUUCUAAAGGAAUAUAUGGAGCCGGGGCACAUUCCGACUUUGGGUUUAUUACCCUGUUGGCAACAGAUGAUGUCCCAGAUUUGCAAGAAUAAGGAUGCUAAACCUCACAUGGGAAUAUGUGCAACCUUUGAAAGGGUAAAGCCCAACAGAACCUGAGAUGAUUAUGUUCGAGAUCUCAUAUUUACAGUAACUUGGACACUUUUGGUGGAAGCCAUCAUGUUAGGAUUUACAUUCUAGUGAUCUGUGGAUUACAAACUUAACUUGGACUAACUUUGCCUUUAAUAUUUUACUUUUGGUUUAUUGGAGCAUGUACACGAUAACAUGCUCCCUUAUACGCAUGAUUGGAAGAUUGCUUCAUGCCAAUGUUGAGUGUUAUACUACCCCGGUACUGGUCACAACUUUUUGACAAAAAUCAUUGAUUGUUUGAUGCUACUAUAGUUCUUGUUCGUACAAAGGCAGUGAUAUUCCAGUUUAGAGAGAAAAUAAAAUCCUCCCAAGUAAGCUGUCUUUCGUAGAAUAGUUUCUUUCCCAUAUAUCAUCAAGAUGUCGCUAUUGUAUUUCCUCUGUCGUCAAAUCUCGGCCCUAAGAUCUAGUUCUUCUCCUCCUUGAUUCAAAUGACAGACUUUAUGCGUUUUGUUUGGGUGUCGAUGCUCUGCUUUGUACGUGAUUGUUGAAGUGGAUAUCGCAUUACCA